GUGCCAGCAGCCGCGGUAAGACGAACCGUGCGAACGUUAUUCGGAAUCACUGGGCUUAAAGCGCGUGUAGGCGGGACGGCACGUCUGUCGCUGAAAUCCCCCGGCUUAACCGGGGAACUGGCGGAGAUACGACCGUCCUGGAGGGGCGUAGGGGGACCUGGAACUUCCGGUGGAGCGGUGAAAUGCGUUGAGAUCGGAAGGAACGCCCGUGGCGAAAGCGAGGUCCUGGACGCCUACUGACGCUGAGACGCGAAAGCCAGGGGAGCGAACGGGAUUAGAUACCCCGGUAGUCC
rnacentral:rRNA from 1 species